GGGGCCGUAGUUAAACGGGAGAAUGCAUCGUUCGCAACGAUGAGAUACGGGUUCAAUUCCCGUCGGCUCCA
rnacentral:tRNA from 2 species